rnacentral:rRNA from 1 species
ACCUGUAUCCAAUCAGGAAUUUUGCACAGGUGCUGCAUGGCUGUCGUCAGCUCGUGCCGUGAGGUGUUAGGUUAAGUCCUGCAACGAGCGCAACCCUCGUCGCUAGUUAAUUUCUCUAGCGAUACUGCCCGUAAAACGUGGAGGAAGGUGGGGAUGACGUCAAGUCAGCAUGGCCUUUAUGUCUUGGGCUACACACACGCUACAAUGGAUGGUACAAAGGGUUGCCAAAGAGCGAUCUGGAGCUAAUCCCAAAAAACCAUCCUCAGUUCAGAUUGCAGGCUGCAAUGCCUGCAUGAAGUUGGAGUUGCUAGUAACCGCAGGUCAGCACACUGCGGUGAAUACGUUCUCGGGCCUU